rnacentral:lncRNA from 14 species
CAAGCCCCAGUGGGAUGCGGAAGCUGAGCUGCCAUGGAUGCUCUGACCACAGGUUCAUCAUCUCUGGACCAGAAGCUUACACGAGUCCAGGGGUAUGCUUCCUAAGGCUCAUUUCCGUGUGGAAACAGGUAUAGGAAGAGAACAUUCCUGACUAAAGUGGCUC